rnacentral:rRNA from 1 species
UACGGGGGGGGCAAGCGUUGUUCGGAAUUACUGGGCGUAAAGGGCGUGUAGGCGGUUCGCUAAGUUGAAUGUGAAAACUCUGGGCUUAACCCAGAGCCUGCAUUCAAUACUGGCGGGCUAGAGUUCUGGAGGGGAUAGCGGAAUUCCUGGUGUAGCGGUGAAAUGCGUAGAUAUCAGGAAGAACACCCGUGGCGAAGGCGGCUCUCUGGGACGGUACUGACGCUGAGACGCGAAAGCGUGGGGAGCGAACAGG